rnacentral:rRNA from 1 species
GUCCACGCCCUAAACGAUGCGAACUGGACGUUGGGAGCAACUAGGCUCUCAGUGUCGAAGCUAACGCGUUAAGUUCGCCGCCUGGGGAGUACGGUCGCAAGACUGAAACUCAAAGGAAUUGACGGGGCCCGCACAAGCGGUGGAGUAUGUGGUUUAAUUCGAUGCAACGCGAAGAACCUUACCUGGUCUUGACAUCCACGGAAGUCUGCAGAGAUGCGGAUGUGCCUUCGGGAACCGUGAGACAGGUGCUGCAUGGCUGUCGU